rnacentral:rRNA from 1 species
UACAGAGGGUGCAAACGUUGCUCGGAAUUAUUGGGCGUAAAGCGCGUGUAGGCGGCCUGUUAAGUCGGUUGUGAAAACCCACGGCUCAACCGUGGAAGUGCGUCCGAAACUGGCAGGCUGGAGUCCCGAAGAGGAUGGCGGAAUUCCCAGUGUAGAGGUGAAAUUCGUAGAUAUUGGGAGGAACAUCGGUGGCGAAGGCGGCCAUCUGGGAGGGUACUGACGCUGAGACGCGAAAGCGUGGGGAGCAAACAGG